UACGAAGGGGGCGAGCGUUGUUCGGAUUUACUGGGCGUAAAGGGCGCGCAGGCGGCUUAUUUUGUCAGGCGUGAAAGCCCCGGGCUUAACCUGGGAACUGCGUUUGAUACGGAUGGGCUAGAGUUCGGGAGAGGAGAGUGGAAUUCCCAGUGUAGAGGUGAAAUUCGUAGAUAUCGGGAGGAACACCAGUGGCGAAGGCGGCUAUCUGGACGAAUACUGACGCUGAAGUUCGAAAGCGUGGGGAGCAAACAGG
rnacentral:rRNA from 1 species